AUUGAACGCUGGCGGCAUUCUUUACACAUGCAAGUCGAACGGCAGCGCGGGCUUCGGCCUGGCGGCGAGUGGCGAACGGGCGAGUAAUUCAUCGGAACUUGCCCAGUAGUGGGGGAUAGCUCGGCGAAAGCCGGAUUAAUACCGCAUACGACCUGAGGGUGAAAGCGGGGGAUCUUCGGACCUCGCGCUAUUGGAGCGGCCGAUGGCAGAUUAGCUAGUUGGUUGGGUAAAUGCCUACCAAGGCGUCGAUCUGUAGCUGGUCUGAGAGGACGACCAGCCACCCUGGAACUGAGACCCGCCCCAGACUCCUACGGGAGGCAGCAGUGGGGAAUUUUGGACAAUGGGCGAAGGCCUCAUCCAGCAAUGCCGCGUGUGUGAUGAAGGCCUUCGGGUUGUAAAGCACUUUUGGCGGGAAAGCAAAGGACUGUGCCAAUACCACGGUUCGAUGCCGGUAACCGCAGAAUAAGCACCGGCUAACUACGUG
rnacentral:rRNA from 1 species